GACGAACGCUGGCGGCGUGCCUAAUACAUGCAAGUUGAGCGAUGAAGAUUGGUGCUUGCACCAAUUUGAAGAGCAGCGAACGGGUGAGUAACGCGUGGGGAAUCUGCCUUUGAGCGGGGGACAACAUUUGGAAACGAAUGCUAAUACCGCAUAACAACUUUAAACAUAAGUUUUAAGUUUGAAAGAUGCAAUUGCAUCACUCAAAGAUGAUCCCGCGUUGUAUUAGCUAGUUGGUGAGGUAAAGGCUCACCAAGGCGAUGAUACAUAGCCGACCUGAGAGGGUGAUCGGCCACAAUGGGACUGAGACACGGCCCAAACUCCUAAGGGAGGCAGCAGUAGGGAAUCUUCGGCAAUGGACGAAAGGCUGACCGAGCAACGCCGCGGGAGUGAAGAAGGGUUUCGGAUCGGAAAACUCUGUUGGUAGAGAAGAACGUUGGUGAGAGUGGAAAGCUCAUCAAGUGACGGUAACUACCCAGAAAGGGACGGCUAACUACGUG
rnacentral:rRNA from 1 species